GUAAAAAUGCAGUGGCAGUAUCGUAGCCAAUGAGGUUUAUCCGAGGCGCGAUUAUUGCUAAUUGAAACUAAGAUAUUUUUCAGAUAAUAAAAUUUCUAGAGAAUUUGUCGCUAAUUGAUUCUUUUUUUUUUUCCAAU